AACGAACGCUGGCGGCAGGCUUAACACAUGCAAGUCGAGCGCCCCGCAAGGGGAGCGGCAGACGGGUGAGUAACGCGUGGGAACGUACCUUUUGGUUCGGAACAACUCCGGGAAACUGGAGCUAAUACCGGAUAAGCCCUAACGGGGAAAGAUAUAUCGCCGAAAGAUCGGCCCGCGUCUGAUUAGCUAGUUGGUGAGGUAACGGCUCACCAAGGCGACGAUCAGUAGCUGGUCUGAGAGGAUGAUCAGCCACACUGGGACUGAGACACGGCCCAGACUCCUACGGGAGGCAGCAGUGGGGAAUAUUGGACAAUGGGCGCAAGCCUGAUCCAGCCAUGCCGCGUGAGUGAUGAAGGCCUUAGGGUUGUAAAGCUCUUUUGUCCGGGAAGAUAAUGACUGUACCGGAAGAAUAAGCCCCGGCUAACUUCGUG
rnacentral:rRNA from 1 species